GAGGAAUAUUGCGCAAUGGGGGCAACCCUGACGCAGCGACGCCGCGUGGGUGAGGAAGGUUUUCGGAUCGUAAAGCCCUGUCAGGUGGGAAGAAGUGUUAUACGGUUAAUACCCG
rnacentral:rRNA from 1 species